AAAUUGAACGCUGGCGGAAUGCUUUACACAUGCAAGUCGAACGGCAGCACGGGGGCAGCCCUGGUGGCGAGUGGCGAACGGGUGAGUAAUACAUCGGAACGUGCCCAGUCGUGGGGGAUAACGUAGCGAAAGUUACGCUAAUACCGCAUACGAUCUUUGGAUGAAAGCGGGGGAUCGCAAGGCCUCGCGCGAUUGGAGCGGCCGAUGGCAGAUUAGGUAGUUGGUGGGGUAAAGGCUCACCAAGCCGACGAUCUGUAGCUGGUCUGAGAGGACGACCAGCCACACUGGGACUGAGACACGGCCCAGACUCCUACGGGAGGCAGCAGUGGGGAAUUUUGGACAAUGGGCGCAAGCCUGAUCCAGCCAUUCCGCGUGCAGGAUGAAGGCCCUCGGGUUGUAAACUGCUUUUGUACGGAACGAAAAGGCUUUCUCUAAUACCGAGAGCUGAUGACGGUACCGGAAGAAUAAGCACCGGCUAACUACGUGCCAGCAGCCGCGGUAAUACGUAGGGUGCGAGCGUUAAUCGGAAUUACUGGGCGUAAAGCGUGCGCAGGCGGUGAUGUAAGACAGGUGUGAAAUCCCCGGGCUUAACCUGGGAACUGCAUUGGUGACUGGCAGGCU
rnacentral:rRNA from 1 species